rnacentral:rRNA from 1 species
AUGGCUUCCGACGGCGUCAUCACGCACCGCAGCGUCGAGGUCAACGGGGUGCGCCUGCACGUCGCGGAGGCCGGCCCGGCGGGCGCGCCCGUGGUGCUGCUGCUGCACGGGUUCCCGGAGCUGUGGUACACCUGGCGACACCAGAUGCCCGCGCUGGCCGCGGCGGGCUACCGCGCCGUCGCCCCCGACAUGCCCGGCUACGGCGACUCCGAGGCGCCCUCCGCCGGCCCGGACCAGUACACCGCGCUGCAUAUCGUCGGCGACCUUGUCGCGCUCAUCGACUCCCUCGGCCAGGAGCGGGUCUUCGUGGUGGGGCACGACUGGGGCGCCAUAAUAGCCUGGAGCCUGUGCCUGUUCCGGCCUGACAGGGUGAAGGCGCUGGUGGCCUUGAGCGUCCCCUUCAUCCCUCGGAGCCCGGCGGUGAAGCCCGUCGAUGCUGUCAGGGCUCUCUACGGCGACGACUUUUACAUCUGCAGCUUCCAGGAGCCUGGGGCAAUUGAAGCAGAAUUCAAACGCCUUGGUACAGAGUUGGUGCUAAGAAAGUUUUUCGCUGAUCGAACUCCUGGCCCACUGUUCAUCCAGAAGAGCGGGUGGGGCUCACCAGAUGAUGAGGUGCCCUUGCCGAGCUGGAUCACAGAGGAGGACCUCAAGUACUACACGACCCAGUUUGACAAGUCUGGUUUCACCGGGGGAUUCAACUACUAUCGUGCCCUGAAUAAGACAUGGGAGUUAACUUCGCCAUGGACGGGAGCUGAGAUAAUGGUGCCAACGAAGUUCACAGUUGGCAACUUAGAUCUAACAUACAAUAUUGCAGGGGCAAAAGUUUUCAUUAACAAAGGUGGUCUCAAGAAGUUUGUUCCAUUACUAGAUGACGUGGUGAUAAUGAAAGAUGUGGGGCAUUUCAUAAAUGAAGAAAAGCCAGAGGAAAUUAGUGCGCUCAUAAUCGGCUUCAUAAAGAAAUUCAACUAA